rnacentral:rRNA from 1 species
GACGAACGCUGGCGGCGUGCUUAACACAUGCAAGUCGAACGGUAAGGCCCUUCGGGGUACACGAGUGGCGAACGGGUGAGUAACACGUGGGUGAUCUGCCCUGCACUUCGGGAUAAGCCUGGGAAACUGGGUCCAAUACCGGAUAGGACCACUGCCUGCAUGGGUGGUGGUGGAAAGCUUUUGCGGUGUGGGAUGGGCCCGCGGCCUAUCAGCUUGUUGGUGGGGUGAUGGCCUACCAAGGCGACGACGGGUAGCCGGCCUGAGAGGGUGACCGGCCACAGUGGGACGGAGAUACGGCCCAGACUCCUACGGGAGGCAGCAGUGGGGAAUAUUGCACAAUGGGCGCAAGCCUGAUGCAGCGACGCCGCGUGAGGGAUGACGGCCUUCGGGUUGUAAACCUCUUUCAGCACCGACGAAGCGCAAGUGACGGUAGGUGCAGAAGAAGGACCGGUCAACUACGUGCCAGCAGCCGCCGUAA